GGCUGAGCAGGAGCUCCUGGAUGCCACUGAACGUGCGCAGCUCCUCCAUACCCAGAACACCAGCUUGAUCAACACCAAGAAGAAGCUG